UUUGGUGGAGGAACCAGACUGGAUGUUGGAAGUGACGCCCCUCCCACCCUGACGGUGCUGCCCCCCUCCAGAGAGGAGCUGCAGCAGGGGAAGGCCACGCUCAUGUGCCUGGCCAACAAGGGCUUCCCCUCAGACUGGAGGCUGGCCUGGAAGGUGGACGGCAGCAGCAGCAGCAGCAGCAGCUGGGAGCAGAGCAGGAGCCCCGGGGUGCUGGAGAAGGACGGCCUCUACAGCUGGAGCAGCACCCUGAGGCUCACUGCAGACCAGUGGAGGAAGCUGGGCUCUGUCACCUGUGAGGCCACCCAGGGCUCCCAGGCUCUGCAGGCCGAGACACUGAGGAGAGACCAGUGUCCCCAGUAACUGACCUGACUCACUGGGACUUCUGCUACUGGUUUC